rnacentral:lncRNA from 1 species
CAUGAACUAUGAGCAGGUUAUCUUAGAUAAGAGCAAAGAUAGGGACGUUUUAGGCAAUUUCUUGCCAAGUCUCAUUUAUGUCUCGAGACAGAAAAGUAAGACUUCUCCUCACCACUUUAAAGCUGGAGCUCUGAAUGUUCUGGUAUGAGUUAAAUGAUCUAAUGACUUAUUCUGGUAUCUUAUCCAAUUGAUUAGUUUUUAUUUUAUGCUUUCUAAUUCUCUCUUAAAAUUUGGAAUGUUCGGAAGUUACGAGUAUCAGCUGUUAUGACCAAUGCGCCAUUAAUCUUGACCCAAGACUGUGACAUGUACUCGAAUGAUCCUCAAACUCCUCUCCGGGUGCUAUGUUAUCUAUUAGACCCUGCACUUCAAUCAAAAUUGGCUUACAUUCAAUUUCCCCAACGAUUUCAUGGCCUUAACCAAACUGACAUCUAUGCUUCUGAGUAUAAACGAGAGUUUCAAAUUAAUACUAUGGGUUUAGAUGGGCUAAUAGGUCCAGGUUAUAUGGGAUCAGGUUGCUUCUUUCGCCGACGAGCUUUUUUCGGCGGCCCAUCAACUUUGGUGCAGCCGGAAAUCCCUGAACUCAGCCCAGACCAUGUGGUAGACAAGCCCAUUAAUUCUCGAGAAAUUUUGUCAUUGGCACACAAUGUAGCAGGUUGCGACUAUGAGAACCAAACCGAACAUUGGGGCUUCAAGGUAAGCUCACCAGUCAUUCUCCAAAACACUGUCUAUCAAAAAGCUUUAAAUUACAAUCAAUAUGUUAAGAUUGUUUCUUGAUAUGUAUGCAGAAUGGGUUUAGAUAUGGAUCUUUGGUUGAGGACUUUUACACAGGAUAUCGGCUUCAGUGUGAAGGAUGGAAGAGCUUAUUCUGCCAUCCUGAGAGGGCUGCAUUUUUAGGGGAUGUGCCAAUUACCCUUUUAGAUUUACUUAGUCAAUGCAAUAGAUGGUGCAUCGGCCUUUUAGAAGUGGCCUUUUCCAAAUUUAACACUCUCAUCUUCGGUUCUCGUUCUAUGGGCCUUUUGAUGGGAUUAGCUUAUUCUCACUAUGCAUUUUGGCCUAUCUGGUGCAUUCCGGUCACCCUUUAUUCUUUCGUCCCCCAAUUAGCUUUGCUUAACAAAGUCAGCAUCUUCCCAAAGGUAUGAGCAUUGAUGAAAUUAUAUGAUUAUUUAUUUGAAUUCAGUUUAUUAAUUUGUUGAAGCCAAAAAUGAAAGCAAGAAAAAAAAUCGUGUUACAGGUAUCAGAACCAUGGUGUUUCUUAUAUGUUUUUCUUUUCCUCGGCGCUUAUGGGCAAGAUUUACUUGACUUUGUCCUAGCUAGAGGCACUGUCCAAAGGUGGUGGAAUGCUCAAAGGAUGUGGAUGAUAAGGGCGCUUUCAUGUUACUUGUUCAGUUCAGUUGAGUACCUGCUCAAGUCCUUAAGGAUUUCCACUCAUGCUUUUAGCCUAACAAGCAAGGUGCUUGAUGAUGAACAAAGUAAGAGAUAUGGCCAAGGCAUCUUUGAGUUCGGAGUCCCCUCCCCCUUGUUUGUGCCAUUGACAAUGGCAGCAAUAAUCAACUUAUUCUCAUUCGCAUGGGGAUUGACCGAGUUUUGGGAUAAUGGCAACAAAGAAGGCCUCGCUUUGCAGAUGGUAUUAGCAGGAUUCAUUGUUUUGAAUUGCUUGCCAAUUUAUGGAGCCAUUGCCUUGAGGAGUGACAAAGGAAAAAUGCCCACCCAAAUUAUAGUCAUUUCAACAUUUCUGUCUGUGGCUCUUUAUACUUUCGCUUAUCUCAUUCUCAAGCAAUAACUCUAAUUAGGCAAGCUUUUUCUUUUUUUUUUCUUUUUUGAAUCAAAUAAUUAGAAUCCUUGCUUUAUAUUUCUCCUCUAAUGUUUGCUUUAUAUACAAUAUUUUAAAAAAAAGAUUGAAGGUAAUCAUAUAUCUAGUUGCUCACUUCCUGUCUUUCACUUUCAUCUUGCUUUCAUUUGCUAGUAACCCCAAAAAGUAUGAUCUGUCUCUUAUUUCUCAUCAUUAAUGUUUGGCUUCGCCUUGAGAUAUACAACCAUUGAUCAGUGCAAAUUGCAAAGCGGUUCACAUGGACACAUUUUUGAGACACUCUAUUUCGUUUUCAUUUCCCAGUAAUCAUUUAGGUGAAAUAUAUCUCAUCAAUUUAGAAAGUCAGCAGAGCAGAUAUCAUUGAUAUAUUAAAUCAAUUACAGAAAUUUGUGAAAAAUAUCAUUUUCAUAACUUGAUUUUAAAAAUAAUCAUUAAAAUAAAAUUAAUUAUUUUCUCUUUGCUUUCACACAUAUAAAGUGUAAUAUGCUGAAUAAAAUCAAUUAGUACAGUUAUUCAGACAAAGAAACCUUUAUAAAUCAGCCCUUCAUACCCACUAACUUUAUCAUGCUAUCAUUUCAGUGGACAACCUUUGUUUUAGUCAAUUCAACACUCCAAUUAAAGAUUAGGAUUUGUCUUAAACUUGACGCCUAAGCCAUAUGUAUCUAGACAAUUAAUGAACCUGUGCAUGAAUCCAAAGAAACCUGAAGUAAAGCGGUAACAAUGUUGGUCAUCAUUUCAACUAUACAAGAAAUAAAUAACAAGGCACAUCUUUCAAAGCUUUUUAUUCUAACUUAAUUUCUUAAAGAACCAAAGAGAUGGAACUUAAUCACAAGGCUUCUUCUGUGCUUGCAUAGGUCAAGUCCCAUAUGUCAUACAUUUGUUGUUUUGGCUUACAUACAUAAAUAAAUAAAUAAAUAUAUAUUGCUUUAUAUAUUUAUUAAUUAGGCUUUGCGGCUGUAUGUUCCUAUAAGCUUUUUUUUGGUGUUUUUUGAUAAUUGCCACAAUCAUUUAUAAAGUUACAAUUAUGGAUAAGCAAAAUUACUACAUAUCCACUUGCUCUUGGUAUGCUAAAAUCAAUUCAUCAGCAAUUUUAUCCUAUUUAGAAACAUUCGAGUGAUGUUCAAAGUAAGAGAUGCUUCAGGAUAAUACCACUUCUAAUACUAAUCUUAUUGUAGAUGAUGUACGAGAUUAUGAAAGUGAAGGUAGAAUACAUUGUUGAUAAAGGGGAAAUUAGUGAUGAAUACAUUGUAGACAAUGCAUAUAGAGAAGCUUGUAGUAAAUGGACUGACGGGUUUACUCGUAUGGAUCAUCCUACUGUCGCUCAAGUGAUUUACGUUAAAGAUUAGAGCUAAAAUCAAUCAUAAAUUAAAUUAUUCAGGAGAAAUAAAAGUAUUAGCUAGUACCUACUUUGACAAGGUCAAUUUACUGGUGCCACAUGAACUGUGAGUAGGUUAUCUUAGAUAAGAGCAAAGACAAAUAUGUUUCAGGCAAUUUCUUGCCAAAUCUCAUUUAUGUCUCACGACAGAAAAGCAAGACUUCUCCUCACCACUUCAAAGCUGGAGCUCUAAAUGUUCUGGUAUGGGUUAGAUGAUCUAACGACUUAUUCUGGUAUCUUAUCCAAUUGAUUAGUUUUUAUAUUAUGCUUUCUAAUUCUCUCUUAAAAUUUGGAAUGUUU